rnacentral:rRNA from 1 species
UAUGGAGAGUUUGAUCCUGGCUCAGGAUGAACGCUGGCGGCGUGCCUAAUACAUGCAAGUCGAGCGAACGGACGAGAAGCUUGCUUCUCUGAUGUUAGCGGCGGACGGGUGAGUAACACGUGGAUAACCUACCUAUAAGACUGGGAUAACUUCGGGAAACCGGAGCUAAUACCGGAUAAUAUUUUGAACCGCAUGGUUCAAAAGUGAAAGACGGUCUUGCUGUCACUUAUAGAUGGAUCCGCGCUGCAUUAGCUAGUUGGUAAGGUAACGGCUUACCAAGGCAACGAUGCAUAGCCGACCUGAGAGGGUGAUCGGCCACACUGGAACUGAGACACGGUCCAGACUCCUACGGGAGGCAGCAGUAGGGAAUCUUCCGCAAUGGGCGAAAGCCUGACGGAGCAACGCCGCGUGAGUGAUGAAGGUCUUCGGAUCGUAAAACUCUGUUAUUAGGGAAGAACAUAUGUGUAAGUAACUGUGCACAUCUUGACGGUACCUAAUCAGAAAGCCACGGCUAACUACGUGCCAGCAGCCGCGGUAAUACGUAGGUGGCAAGCGUUAUCCGGAAUUAUUGGGCGUAAAGCGCGCGUAGGCGGUUUUUUAAGUCUGAUGUGAAAGCCCACGGCUCAACCGUGGAGGGUCAUUGGAAACUGGAAAACUUGAGUGCAGAAGAGGAAAGUGGAAUUCCAUGUGUAGCGGUGAAAUGCGCAGAGAUAUGGAGGAACACCAGUGGCGAAGGCGACUUUCUGGUCUGUAACUGACGCUGAUGUGCGAAAGCGUGGGGAUCAAACAGGAUUAGAUACCCUGGUAGUCCACGCCGUAAACGAUGAGUGCUAAGUGUUAGGGGGUUUCCGCCCCUUAGUGCUGCAGCUAACGCAUUAAGCACUCCGCCUGGGGAGUACGACCGCAAGGUUGAAACUCAAAGGAAUUGACGGGGACCCGCACAAGCGGUGGAGCAUGUGGUUUAAUUCGAAGCAACGCGAAGAACCUUACCAAAUCUUGACAUCCUUUGACAACUCUAGAGAUAGAGCUUUCCCCUUCGGGGGACAAAGUGACAGGUGGUGCAUGGUUGUCGUCAGCUCGUGUCGUGAGAUGUUGGGUUAAGUCCCGCAACGAGCGCAACCCUUAAGCUUAGUUGCCAUCAUUAAGUUGGGCACUCUAAGUUGACUGCCGGUGACAAACCGGAGGAAGGUGGGGAUGACGUCAAAUCAUCAUGCCCCUUAUGAUUUGGGCUACACACGUGCUACAAUGGACAAUACAAAGGGCAGCGAAACCGCGAGGUCAAGCAAAUCCCAUAAAGUUGUUCUCAGUUCGGAUUGUAGUCUGCAACUCGACUACAUGAAGCUGGAAUCGCUAGUAAUCGUAGAUCAGCAUGCUACGGUGAAUACGUUCCCGGGUCUUGUACACACCGCCCGUCACACCACGAGAGUUUGUAACACCCGAAGCCGGUGGAGUAACCUUUUAGGAGCUAGCCGUCGAAGGUGGGACAAAUGAUUGGGGUGAAGUCGUAACAAGGUAGCCGUAUCGGAAGGUGCGGCUGGAUCACCUCCUU